GGGGGACCGCUCGGAGGUCCCGGCGGCCCUGGCGGCGGAGCGGCGGCGGCGGCCAGCAGCGGAGGCGGCACCGGCCACGGUGUGAGCUGCUUGGACGGACAGCCGGGCCAGUCCGGUUAUGGACCUUAUGGUGGCGCCGGAGGCCGCGGCGGCGGAAGGAACUGCUUAGAUGUGCGUUCGGGGCCCGCUGGUGUGAGCACGGUGAGAGCUCCCGCUGAUGCGAACACGGCGCAUGCAGCUGGCGGAGGUGCGCCAGGGGCUCCAGCGGGGUAUGCAGGAGCUGCGGGAGCGCCUGGGAAAGAGUGACCCCUGUUGGCAGGCUGAGAACACCCCGGUGCCACACAUGGCGUUGACAGUAUUUCUGCUGGCGUUCCAACCAUGCAUUAUUUAAAACAGAGCGCUAGCCAUCCGCUUUGGUGUAUGGGCGCGUAUAGUUUUAGAGACGAUGUACCGUGCCACCCUCCGGCUCUCUGUACGUCACUGAAGUCUGACGGUGCACUCUUCUCUGUUGUUGUUGGAUUGGUGGAAUGGCAUGGCUGACCGUCAAUAUCGUGAUCGCUUUCUGCACAUACACCGUGUAUGGCGUCUCAGUUCAGUGUAAAUGCACCUAAUACUUGCACUGUUGUAGACCUGACCAUCCCGCUGGCAAGCUUGCAAGCCGCAGAGGCACUUGAUGCGCAUCAAAUGGCCAUGCAGGCUGGUAAGACUGGCCUCGCGGUGUAUCGUGUACGUUAGAUACAAAAUAUAACGUAUUUGACUUUA